UACGUAGGGUGCAAGCGUUAAUCGGAAUUACUGGGCGUAAAGCGUGCGCAGGCGGUUUUGUAAGUUCUGAUGUGAAAUCCCCGGGCUCAACCUGGGAAUUGCAUUGGAGACUGCAAGGCUAGAAUCUGGCAGAGGGGGGGUAAGAAUUCCACGUGUGAGCAGUGAAAAUGCGUAGAGAUGUGGAGGAACACCGAUGGCGAAGGCAGCCCCCUGGGUCAAGAUUGACGCUCAUGCACGAAAGCGUGGGGAGCAAACAGG
rnacentral:rRNA from 1 species